GACGAACGCUGUCGGCGUGCUUAACACAUGCAAGUCGAACGGAAAGGCCCUGCUUUUGUGGGGCGCUCGAGUGGCGAACGGGUGAGUAACACGUGAGUAACCUGCCCUUGACUUUGGGAUAACUUCAGGAAACUGGGGCUAAUACCGGAUAGGAGCUCCUGCUGCAUGGUGGGGGUUGGAAAGUUUCGGCGGUUGGGGAUGGACUCGCGGCUUAUCAGCUUGUUGGUGGGGUAGUGGCUUACCAAGGCUUUGACGGGUAGCCGGCCUGAGAGGGUGACCGGCCACAUUGGGACUGAGAUACGGCCCAGACUCCUACGGGAGGCAGCAGUGGGGAAUAUUGCACAAUGGGCGGAAGCCUGAUGCAGCAACGCCGCGUGCGGGAUGACGGCCUUCGGGUUGUAAACCGCUUUCGCCUGUGACGAAGCGUGAGUGACGGUAAUGGGUAAAGAAGCACCGGCUAACUACGUGCCAGCAGCCGCGGUGAUACGUAGGGUGCGAGCGUUGUCCGGAUUUAUUGGGCGUAAAGGGCUCGUAGGUGGUUGAUCGCGUCGGAAGUGUAAUCUUGGGGCUUAACCCUGAGCGUGCUUUCGAUACGGGUUGACUUGAGGAAGGUAGGGGAGAAUGGAAUUCCUGGUGGAGCGGUGGAAUGCGCAGAUAUCAGGAGGAACACCAGUGGCGAAGGCGGUUCUCUGGGCCUUUCCUGACGCUGAGGAGCGAAAGCGUGGGGAGCGAACAGGCUUAGAUACCCUGGUAGUCCACGCUGUAAACGGUGGGUACUAGGUGUGGGGUCCAUUCCACGGGUUCCGUGCCGUAGCUAACGCUUUAAGUACCCCGCCUGGGGAGUACGGCCGCAAGGCUAAAACUCAAAGGAAUUGACGGGGCCCCGCACAAGCGGCGGAGCAUGCGGAUUAAUUCGAUGCAACGCGUAGAACCUUACCUGGGUUUGACAUGGAUCGGGAGUGCUCAGAGAUGGGUGUGCCUCUUUUGGGGUCGGUUCACAGGUGGUGCAUGGCUGUCGUCAGCUCGUGUCGUGAGAUGUUGGGUUAAGUCCCGCAACGAGCGCAACCCUUGUUCACUGUUGCCAGCACGUUAUGGUGGGGACUCAGUGGAGACCGCCGGGGUCAACUCGGAGGAAGGUGGGGAUGACGUCAAGUCAUCAUGCCCCUUAUGUCCAGGGCUUCACGCAUGCUACAAUGGCUGGUACAGAGAGUGGCGAGCCUGUGAGGGUGAGCGAAUCUCGGAAAGCCGGUCUCAGUUCGGAUUGGGGUCCGCAACUCGACCUCAUGAAGUCGGAGUCGCUAGUAAUCGCAGAUCAGCAACGCUGCGGUGAAUACGUUCCCGGG
rnacentral:rRNA from 1 species